ACUAUACAAGGACAGUCGGACUACCAAGCAAUGUCACUCGCUCGGUACAAGAUCUUCCCUUUAUCGU
rnacentral:pre_miRNA from 1 species